ensembl:lncRNA
AUGGUCUUGAAUAAAAAAAAGGCAUGGAGGGGGCAGCUUAGACCUCAAAAAUGCUCAUCUAACUUGCUCUUUGAGGGUUCACCCGCCUUCUCUGCGUGCCAUUCGAGAUUUAACUUGGCCACAGCACGAGUUAUCAGCUCCACAAGCUCCUCGUACUGUGCAGACUGGGGUGGUUCGUCGGCGCUCUCGCCAUCACCCUCCUUGGAGGAUGACAGUUUAAGCACCAAGCCGUCUCCCCGGGGGGAAGAAACCGCUCCCUCAGAGCGUGCUUCUGAUCCCUGGGAGUGGGCAGUGGAUCUGGCUGUUGAGGAAGAAGAAAGGGACUCGCCCAUCUCCAUUUGUUCUGCCAGAUCCAUUUGCAAUCCCCAUGACCGCCGCUGUUGCUCUGUCUUGGCAGAAGCAGGGCCUGAGCCAUGGGGAACAGUGGCGAGGGCUCCCUCCUUGAAGAGAGCCCUCCGGGAGAGAAGCGUCCUCAUCGAGAGGCACUCGCAAUGCAGGCAGUCAGCUUCUUCAAGAGCUGACUCAGCGUGCUUCGCUCCCAAGCAGACAACACAAAGGCUGAACAUUAUUAAUUAGAUAUAUUCAUUUAACCAUGCACUUUUAAAAGCAAUGUUCACAAACACUGGGUACUGAACACAUCAAAGCAAAGAAUGGUCAAACCAGUUUUCUUUCAAUUUGCACAGUUAUACAGUUCAAAUAAUAGAAAAUGGUAAAUAUCAAGGUACCAUUUAUGAACUUUGUACCUUGAUCUGUAGGUUCAUAUAAUCAUUUUGAUUCUAUGAUAUAUUCAUGUUUGCUUGGAUAUACUGGAUGUCCAUAUGCAUUUUAAAUUAUACACACACACACACACACACACACACACACAUAUAUAUAUAUAUGUGUGUGUGUGUGUGUAUAUAUAUAUAUAUAUAUAUAUAUAUAUAUAUAUAUUUUCAAGCUAUACUGAAGCCAACAGGCAUUGCUCUUUACAAGGUGAACCAGGGUUUUGUUUUCCAUCAAUAUUUGGAUCUCGGCACAACUCUGAUUCUCCAUAUUCAAAGUAAAUGCUAUAUUGUCAGUAUGAUUUACAGCUGACUAAAGACAAACUUUACAAAACGAGUGCCAUCCCCCUGGGCUUAUCGUGUUUCACUGAAUGUUUGAUCAUUGAUUCUUUGCUAAACAUCACCAUGGCGUGUGCAUAAUGCUUGACACGAUUCGCCAAAAUGAUUCAUUUUUUUCCAGCAUGACAACUGACAUCUCUAGCUGAUUUUGAAGGCUCAUAUUCGAGAAUAUUAAAUAUUUGUGUGUCACGCAUACAGGCGUGAUGUGACAGUUGCAAAUGAUCGUGGGUGCCAUGUCAGAUAGUGACAUGAAUAGUGUGUGAUUUCCAUUAAAUAUAAACAAGAGCUUGUGGAGUCAUAGACGUCAUGUUCUGAGCUGUCUUCAUUGUUCAUAAACAGUAGGAUUAAAAUUCUUUAUUGAAUUAGUAGUAUACUAUUCUGAUUCAUAAUUAGUUAACCACAUAUACAUGUAAAUAUUUGCUGAGAAAAUCCCCCACAUGGGUCAAAGACAUUACAGUAUUAAAUCAGAUGACCAUUGGAGUUUGUAAUA